rnacentral:rRNA from 1 species
UGCAGUCGAGCGGACAGAAGGGAGCUUGCUCCCGGAUGUUAGCGGCGGACGGGUGAGUAACACGUGGGUAACCUGCCUGUAAGACUGGGAUAACUCCGGGAAACCGGAGCUAAUACCGGAUAGUUCCUUGAACCGCAUGGUUCAAGGAUGAAAGACGGUUUCGGCUGUCACUUACAGAUGGACCCGCGGCGCAUUAGCUAGUUGGUGGGGUAAUGGCUCACCAAGGCGACGAUGCGUAGCCGACCUGAGAGGGUGAUCGGCCACACUGGGACUGAGACACGGCCCAGACUCCUACGGGAGGCAGCAGUAGGGAAUCUUCCGCAAUGGACGAAAGUCUGACGGAGCAACGCCGCGUGAGUGAUGAAGGUUUUCGGAUCGUAAAGCUCUGUUGUUAGGGAAGAACAAGUGCGAGAGUAACUGCUCGCACCUUGACGGUACCUAACCAGAAAGCCACGGCUAACUACGUGCCAGCAGCCGCGGUAAUACGUAGGUGGCAAGCGUUGUCCGGAAUUAUUGGGCGUAAAGGGCUCGCAGGCGGUUUCUUAAGUCUGAUGUGAAAGCCCCCGGCUCAACCGGGGAGGGUCAUUGGAAACUGGGAAACUUGAGUGCAGAAGAGGAGAGUGGAAUUCCACGUGUAGCGGCGAAAUGCGUAGAGAUGUGGAGGAACACCAGUGGCGAAUGCCACUCUC